GGUGGAUGGAGCCUCGGUGCACCCCUGUCGUGGGCUCCAAGUCAGUACUCGUGUUUCGGGUGCUCGUGAGCCAGCCCCCUGCUGUGGUAUGGGCUCUGUGGGCCCAGGGUGGAGGACGAGGCCCACCCUGACAAACUGAAAGUCUGCUCUGAGGAAAAUAGACCACGUUUGGGUAAAGGGAGGCCAACGAAAGAGCAUAAGGAAGAAAUGAAAUGAUAUAAAGCUGUGGGAUAGGUGGGCAUCUCGGCGUACCAGCUGCCUCAGGAUUAUCACAGUUGUUGUCAGCAUCCCAGCAAAAGAAGGAUUUGAGGGGAUGGGGUCGUUUUGUGGAUGUUUGCUGAGUGUGCCUUCAGAACAGGAAGAAUAGCGCUGAAAAGAGUUUAUAGGACCUUUGUCUUGGCGGAUAUGGUCUAGCAGAAGCUGGAGGGCUCAGGCCAGAUCUGAUGCUCAGUUAAAUCAGCUUAGGUUUUUCUUUGUCUUACGGCACAUUAGGUUAGACCCAUAACAUCAAAGGUUGAGGAUCUCUCCCUAAUGAUGCAGGAUGUGUAUGUGGAGAUGGAUGGAGGUUCACUGCCAGGGAGCAGACACUGCACCCUGUGCCUACGCUCUGGCCUAGAUGCUGCCGUCCUGUGAGGCAUUCUUGUGCUGAGUAGGAACUGCCAGAUUAGGAUCACCAUCUCUGGAAACAGGACAGUGUCGAUCUGACUUUUGAAAGACAGCUGAAGACACUCCGACAUUUGCAAACCCAUAAGUUAGAAAUAAACAGAGUGAAAUAACUGAGAGGUGGAUCUGUGCUGUCUGCCUGUCCUCGUGGGCGUGUGUGGAGGGAGUUGCCCAGGCCACCUUGACUUCAUUUAGCAUCAAAGGCUGUGACCCCACAAGCUCCAGGCAGGCUGCCCUCUCCACUCCGCGAGCGCAUCGCUGAGCAGAGCACCAGGGCUUAUUUAAACAUCUCAGAAACAAACUGUCUGACAAGCUAUCAGAGAGGUCUUUCAUGGAAAAAUUGCAGAUCUGAAGGGAGGAGAACUGAAAAUCAUCUUUCAUGCAAGUUUCUUGCUCUCAGAAUGAGCAGACUGAAAUAAUUUUCAGGGUAAUAUUGAAAGUGUUACUACUGCUGCACUUAAAUCUUCCUAAAUGCUUUUUAUAAUCAAUAUUAUAGGAAAGUUACUUCAUUUGACAGCUUAUUACGUGCCCUAAACAUUGUGUUGUAAUACAUUAAAAUGAAUAAAUGUACAGAUGCUGUGUGCUUUUUCCAAGCUUCCUCUAUUCAAACAUUCACUGUGUAUCUGCAUUAUCACAUUAGUUCUCUACUCUGCAGACAUAACUUUCCAUUUUGUUUACAAGUCCACGAUAUUGAUGCUUUCUAUUUUAACAAUAUUUUUUCUCUGUUUUAGAGCUAUCGAGGCAAAAAAUACACAAAUGUACCUUAGUAUAAAGCACUACUACUGGGCAUAGCUGUCAUUAUUCAGAAGCAACGAAUGCAUACUUUUUUAUUUCAUAAAUAUACUAAGUCAUAAUUUCUGUCUGUUAAAUGAAGUAUUUCACAUGCCUAAAAAAGUUUGUAAAGUUUAGUUUCAAUAAUCAGGUAACUACUGUGGAUAUUUCACCUUUUCUGCUAUUUUCAACCAUUUGGGGGUUGAAUUUUCUAGCUUCUAGCUUAUGGUUCUGUAUUAUCAGUAUGCCAAUUUUUUGCAUAUUUUUAUUAUUUCAGACCCUUCCUCUCCCCCAGGCUGUAUUUGUUCUACUGGGAUUUAAAAAUUAUUACCUGCAUAAGUGUUUGUGGGACUAAGGUUUUGCACUAUGCUCUCUGCAGGGUAGUUAUCAUUUAUGUCUCCUUGUCCUGCAGAUGUCUAGUAUAUAAAAACCAUACAUCUUCCCAUCAGUUAUGGGACAUAAACAAAUAAGUGUGGAGAAAAAGAGGGAUAAUGACAACAUGUAACCAAUGCUUAAAACUGGAAUUAAGAAGUUAGAGAAUUAAAGUACACAAAAAGAGAUGCAAACUGUACAAAACUCUUGUGUUUCCAGGGUGCGCUUUUGCUGUGUGUCUGUCUCCCCCUUGGGACCCAACAUGGCAAGAAGGAUUAGGACAACAAAUUUUCAGGGUGGGCAAUUCCUCCUGAAAGUAUUAGGUGUGUCUUCUGUAACGUGUUCCUUAUACGUAAUUGCAAAAGGCCUCCUAUGUAACUGCAAAAGGCCUUUUUAUUAACCAGAGGAAAAGCAUCUUUGGAACUCGUCUCCUUUACAUUUGCAUAAAGUAUACCUCAAACCCUCUAGAAAAAAAUUCUUUUCAUGAGCAAGCCUCUGCAUGCCAUAUAUAAAGCUUCAGAUUUUUCCACGUAUUGAAAUCUCUUCCUACUCUAUCUCAGUGCAGCUUCCAGUGCUUUUGAUCCUUUUAGCUGUCGCCUUCCUUGCACAAGAUAUGAGUCAGAUUCCAUUGUCAUCUGCUUCAUUGUAAAAUGUGGUUAAUAUCCGUUAAAUCAAUAGACCUGAUUUAGAUUUGCACUGGGGAAACUGAGUUAAGCACGUGGAAACAUGUUUCUGGCUCUGUUCUUUUUUUUGCUUGAAUCCUGUAGUAGUAAAUCUCUAUUUUGAUUUCUA